GCCACCUUGGCUAAGUGGUUACGGCGCUCCGCUUGUAUCGCCGGCUUUCGCCGGGCAGCAACGGAGAGAUCACUCGUUCGAUCCGGGUAGGUGGCA